GAUGAACGCUGGCGGCGUGCCUAAUACAUGCAAGUCGAGCGAACAGACGAGGAGCUUGCUCCUCUGACGUUAGCGGCGGACGGGUGAGUAACACGUGGAUAACCUACCUAUAAGACUGGGAUAACUUCGGGAAACCGGAGCUAAUACCGGAUAAUAUAUUGAACCGCAUGGUUCAAUAGUGAAAGACGGUUUUGCUGUCACUUAUAGAUGGAUCCGCGCCGCAUUAGCUAGUUGGUAAGGUAACGGCUUACCAAGGCAACGAUGCGUAGCCGACCUGAGAGGGUGAGCAGGCACAAGGGGACUGAGCAACGGCAGAGAGUCCUAGGGGAGGCAGCAGUGGGGGAGUGUGGACAAUGGGCGCAAGCCUGAUACAGCAGUGACGAGUGCAGGAUGAAGGCAUGCGGGUUGUAAAAUGCGUUUGUAAGGAAAGAAAAGACUUCUUUUAAGAAAGGAGGGUCAGGACGGUAACGUAAGAAUAAGCACCGGCUAACUAAGUG
rnacentral:rRNA from 1 species